rnacentral:piRNA from 1 species
UGCCUUUAUGGUGGCUCUCUGAAG